AGUGAACGCUGGCGGUAGGCCUAACACAUGCAAGUCGAACGGCAGCACAGUAAGAGCUUGCUCUUACGGGUGGCGAGUGGCGGACGGGUGAGGAAUACAUCGGAAUCUACUUUUUCGUGGGGGAUAACGUAGGGAAACUUACGCUAAUACCGCAUACGACCUACGGGUGAAAGCAGGGGAUCUUCGGACCUUGCGCGAUUGAAUGAGCCGAUGUCGGAUUAGCUAGUUGGCGGGGUAAAGGCCCACCAAGGCGACGAUCCGUAGCUGGUCUGAGAGGAUGAAAGGCAAAAGUGAAAUGGAAAAACGGACAGACACCCGAGGGGGGGAAAAGGGGGGAAAGAUUGGAAAAGGGGGGAAAGCGUGACCCAGCCAAACCGGGGGGGUGAAGAAGGCCUGCGGGUGGGAAAGCCUUUUUUGGGGGAAAAAAAAGAAGAAGGUUAAAACCCGGCUGUUUGAAGGGUACCAAAAAAAAAAGAACCGGCUAAUUUGGU
rnacentral:rRNA from 1 species